GUGGAUAUGCAUAAUUAUGCAAUGUUAUUCCUUAAUUACACAAAUCUAUCUUAAAUCAAGUAAAAAACCUACAAAGAAUUACCUCGCCUUCACAGUGCUUGAAUACAAACCAUCCCUCAUAUGCUAUACAUCUUCUGGUACUGGGGAUGGCAAUAGCUUUCCUUUUGAAGAAAUAGAUGUAGAUUCAUCAGGUGAAAUUCCAAGAGCAACAUUAACAUGUCGCUUAUAAUCCACGUGACGAUUAGACUUUUGGAUCUAGUACUAGCAACUUUUGAUCAAAAUGCAUAUAAUUGAAGAAGCUCUCCACAUCCCCGUGUGUUGCUGGAGAACUACUUCUCAACAUGUUGGGCAGAGAAGACAAAAUUGGAUUUUCGGUGCAUUCUCGAAAGCUACAUGAUCUAUCUAAUGAAGCAGCUAUGUUGGAUCCACGCUGCGCAGUGUACAAUGGUCUAUUUGGGCUACUGGAAGAUGGAUCAAACUUACUAGAUGUCGCCAUUGCACUAGUUUCAAGACAUCCUUCAAUUAAAAAAUACAGACCAGAGAUUGGU
rnacentral:lncRNA from 1 species